UGGGAAGUGAUGAUACACAGUACCCCUGACAUCCCGCUGAUUUCUAAUGUGUUCGUACUGGCUGAUCCCA
ensembl:snoRNA SNORD41 small nucleolar RNA, C/D box 41